UACGUAGGGAGCAAGCGUUGUCCGGAAUCAUUGGGCGUAAAGCGCGCGUAGGCGGCCCCGUAAGUCCGCUGUGAAAGUCAAAGGCUCAACCUUUGAAAGCCGGUGGAUACUGUGUGGCUAGAGUCCGGAAGAGGCGAGUGGAAUUCCUGGUGUAGCGGUGGAAUGCGCAGAUAUCAGGAGGAACACCAAUAGCGAAGGCAGCUCGCUGGGACGGUACUGACGCUAAGGCGCGAAAGCGUAGGGAGCGGACAGG
rnacentral:rRNA from 1 species